UCUACGAGGCAUGAAUUCGUGUCAUACCAUGUCAUCGAUUCAUCCAGAAAUUUUGAAAGAUUUAAACCAAUUAAACUUUUCAUUGAUUCAUACAGAUCAUUAUGUAUUGUUUGAUCAAACAUGUAAAUCAAAUGAGAAAUAUUUAUCAUUUGAUGUAACCUUAAAUCGAAUAGAUAAAAUAGAUAUCAAUUAUACUUCAAAAUUAUACUUAUCCAUUAUCAAAUUUAACAAUAUCAAACAUGAUAUCCACGAAUAUUCAUUUGAGAAUUUUAGAAUUUACUCGCAAUGACAAAUUUCUUUCAAUGUGCAAUGUAAAGGAUUUUAAAUUUUGGUGUAGUCGAAGGGCAUCGACGUUUUGUAAAAAUGUGACAUUUCUCGAAGAACAAUUGAACGAAGUUUUCAAAUUUCGAAAUACUAAUGUCAGUAAUUGGAUCAUCGAGAACAAAGCUCGUAGUUUAUGCAUUGGAUAUUACAAAAGCCAAAAAGAGGACAGACAACAGCUUUUAAACUUAUUAGCAGCCAAGUAUGCUGUUCAGCAUGAUAACAUAUGCAAUAUAGCAAAGAAGUUAGUCUGUACAGAGCCUGACAAUAAAAGACGAAUGGUUUCUUACGAACAAAGCUUAAAAAACAUUCUCAUACCAGAUUAUCAAUGGCUGUUUCUUGUUAUUGGAAGACUUGAAAGUGGUGUAAAAUUUCUUGUUGAUUUAAGAACAGAUAUUUUGGAGUUAAUGUUGGAAACCAAAGAAAGCGAUGAAAAUGUUUUAAUACAACAGUUAAAUGUUACAUUACGAGAUUUAUUAUUACUCUGGUUUUCAGUAGGUUUUUUACAUUUAGAGAGAAUAACUUGGCAAAGUGCAUGCGACAUGUUACAAAAGAUUUCAGAUUAUGAAGCGAUACAUCCUAUAAAGAAUUGGCUGGAUUUAAAACAAAGGGUUGGACCUUACAGGAGAUGCUAUGUUUUUACUCAUCCAUCUAUGCCAAGGGAACCACUUGUCGUGUUACAUACAGCGUUAUGCGAUGUAAUACCAGACAGUGUAAAAGGGAUCGAAGAAGCAAAGACCAGAAUCCUUGGUAGCGUAAGAAAAGAAAUAACAUUCCUGGAAGAAGACAAAUCUAAAAUAAAAACAGCAUUAUUUUAUUCCAUAGCUUCUACACAGAAAGGAUUAAAAGGAAUUGAACUUGGUAAUUACUUGAUAAAAGAAGUAGCAAACGAAGUGAUAUCCGAAUUUCCUAUGAUACAUGAAUUAUCUACUUUAUCACCGAUACCGAAUUUUAAAAGUUGGCUCCUUGAAAAAUUAAAACAAGAUGUGAAUUGUAUCUUUACGGGUGAAGAAUGCAGGUCUAUACAAGAUCUUUUAAAAGAAGAAAAUGUUGCACUUAACGUAAGAAAGAUACUUAAUAAUUCACUGUGGACCAAUGAUAAAGAAUUAUGCGAAAUUUUAAGAGAGCCAUUAAUUCGAGCAUGUGCAUGGUAUUUGUAUAAAGAAAAAAGACGGAAUUAUGCCUUAAAUAAUGUUGCGAAUUUUCAUCUUCGUAAUGGAGCAGUUAUGUGGAGAAUAAAUUGGUUGGCUGAUCCUUCGCCGCGCGGUGUUGCAAAUAGUUGUAGCAUUAUGAUAAAUUAUAGAUACUACUUAAACGAAUGCGAAAAGAAUAGUCAAAAUUAUAUUGAGAAUUAUUUUAUAAAUGCAUCUGAAGGUGUAAUUAAUCUUGCUAUGCAACAAGAAAAGUUAUGGAAUAAAACUUAAAAUAAUAUGAAGAAAAUGGCAUUUGCGAGAAAUAUAUGUGGGUGAUACAAAACAUAUCGUGACGUCACAAUUGCACGAGCAUCACCAUCAGAGAAGCGAGCUUUAUUCUUCACGCCUUGUACACGCAAGGUACCUGUAGUCAAGGCUGGGUUUGGUGAAAGUUUGUGGGAAGAUGAGGUCUACUUUCUAGUUUUGUAUAAUCCAAAUGAAAUUCCUUUGCUACUUUUCUCCAACUUUGCGCAUCAAAAUAAUAAUAAGUACCACGUUCA